CAGCAGCCGCGGGAAUACGUAGGGUGCGAGCGUUAAUCGGAAUUACUGGGCGUAAAGCGUGCGCAGGCGGUUCGUUAAGACAGAUGUGAAAUCCCCGGGCUUAACCUGGGAACUGCAUUUGUGACUGGCGAGCUAGAGUAUGGCAGAGGGGGGUAGAAUUCCACGUGUAGCAGUGAAAUGCGUAGAGAUGUGGAGGAAUACCGAUGGCGAAGGCAGCCCCCUGGGCCAAUACUGACGCUCAUGCACGAAAGCGUGGGGAGCAAACAGGAUUAGAUACCCCCGUAGUCCCUGUCUCUUAUAU
rnacentral:rRNA from 1 species